rnacentral:rRNA from 1 species
AUACGUAGGUGGCAAGCGUUGUCCGGAAUUAUUGGGCGUAAAGCGCGCGCAGGCGGCUUCCUAAGUCUGAUGUGAAAUCUUGCGGCUCAACCGCAAAAGGUCAUUGGAAACUGGGGAGCUUGAGUGCAGAAGAGGAGAGUAGAAUUCCACGUGUAGCGGUGAAAUGCGUAGAGAUGUGGAGGAAUACCAGUGGCGAAGGCGGCUCUCUGGUCUGUUACUGACGCUGAGGUGCGAAAGCAUGGGGAGCAAACAGGAUUAGAUACCCUGGUAGUCCAUGCCGUAAACGAUGAAUGCUAGGUGUUAGGGGGUCCAACCCUUAGUGCUGAAGUUAACACAUUAAGCAUUCCGCCUGGGGAGUACGACCGCAAGGUUGAA